GGUAGUCCACGCCGUAAACGAUGUCGACUUGGAGGUUGUGCCCUUGAGGCGUGGCUUCCGGAGCUAACGCGUUAAGUCGACCGCCUGGGGAGUACGGCCGCAAGGUUAAAACUCAAAUGAAUUGACGGGGGCCCGCACAAGCGGUGGAGCAUGUGGUUUAAUUCGAUGCAACGCGAAGAACCUUACCUACUCUUGACAUCCAGAGAACUUAGCAGAGAUGCUUUGGUGCCUUCGGGAACUCUGAGACAGGUGCUGCAUGGCUGUCGUCAGCUCGUGUUGUGAAAUGUUGGGUUAAGUCCCGCAACGAGCGCAACCCUUAUCCUUUGUUGCCAGCGGUUAGGCCGGGAACUCAAAGGAGACUGCCAGUGAUAAACUGGAGGAAGGUGGGGAUGACGUCAAGUCAUCAUGGCCCUUACGAGUAGGGCUACACACGUGCUACAAUGGCGCAUACAAAGAGAAGCGACCUCGCGAGAGCAAGCGGACCUCAUAAAGUGCGUCGUAGUCCGGAUUGGAGUCUGCAACUCGACUCCAUAAAGUCGGAAUCGCUAGUAAUCGUAGAUCAGAAUGCUACGGUGAAUACGUUCCCGGGCCUUGUACACACCGCCCGUCACACCAUGGGAGUGGGUUGCAAAAGAAGUAGGUAGCUUAACCUUCGGGAGGGCGCUUACCACUUUGUGAUUCAUGACUGGGGUGAAGUCGUAACAAGGUAACCGUAGGGGAACCUGC
rnacentral:rRNA from 1 species